GGAAACAUCGGCUCCGUGCUCUCCGUUCCGGGGCUGUAGUGUUGGCGGCGGCCCCGCUCGCCUCUAUAGAGAGAUGGAAGCGGAGAAGGGGCGAGCGGUGGCCGCAGGGGAAAGGCAGGCCUGGAUGGACCUCGCGGUAAACAUGGCUAAAGAAGCACUAGAGAGUGGUGAAGUACCUGUUGGUUGCCUCAUGGUCUACAAUAAUGAGAUCAUAGGGAAGGGAAAGAAUGAAGUUAAUGAAACUAAAAAUGCUACUCGCCAUGCAGAAAUGGUAGCAAUUGAUCAGGUCAUGGACUGGUGUCGUCAGAACAAGAAGGAACCCAAGGAAGUCUUUGUGAACACAGUGCUAUAUGUCACUGUAGAGCCCUGUAUAAUGUGUGCAGCUGCUCUGCGAAUGAUGAAAAUCCCACUGGUUGUAUAUGGCUGCCAAAACGAACGAUUCGGAGGCUGUGGUUCAGUUUUGAACAUCUCUUCUGCUACCUUAACAGACACAGGGGAACCAUUCCAGUGCAUAGCUGGUUAUCGAUCUGAAGAAGCUGUUGAAAUGCUGAAAACCUUCUACAGACAAGAAAAUCCAAAUGCACCAAAAUCAAAAGUUCGAAGAAAGGAAUGCAGUAAAUGAGUGGUUGUAGUGGAAAGUAAAGCAAAGCUGGAAGAAUGACAAGUCUUUGAAAAGGCUGGCCAGGAUUGACCUUCCCUCAGCUAUGGUCAAAGAGGAAUAUUGAGAACUAGAUUUCCAGAGGAACUUUUCUUAGUAUAAGGUAACUAAGCAGGAAAAUGCCUAAAGCUCAGAGCUGGCACUUCAGUGCUUAUUGGGUUGUUCCUUGACCGUAUUAUGAUUACAAUCCAGAAGAGGGCCUUGCUGUUCUAAUAAUGAAUGGCCCAGCAGUUUGACAUGGAGCUCUUAUUCCUGGAGAAUGUGCAUGCUGAGCAACUCAACAGGCUGGGAAGCAGUCAAGCAGUGCCUUGUAGAUUUGUAUAUUAUGGACAGUUCCAAUAGUUAGAAAAGUCAGAGCCACAGUUGUUGCACUAAUUUUAUUUCUCUAUUAAAUAGAUAAAACAAAUUCUGAAAAGGGAUGAAGUAUGUUCCUGAUGGUUAAAUAAUAAAAAUGAAUACAUCUGU